rnacentral:rRNA from 1 species
GACGAACGCUGGCGGCGUGCCUAAUACAUGCAAGUUGAGCGCUGAAGGUUGGUACUUGUACCAACUGGAUGAGCAGCGAACGGGUGAGUAACGCGUGGGGAAUCUGCCUUUGAGCGGGGGACAACAUUUGGAAACGAAUGCUAAUACCGCAUAACAACUUUAAACACAAGUUUUAAGUUUGAAAGAUGCAAUUGCAUCACUCAAAGAUGAUCCCGCGUUGUAUUAGCUAGGUGGUGAGGUAAAGGCUUACCAAGGGGAGGGUACAUAGCCGACCUGAGAGGGUGAUUGGCCCAAUUGGGACUGGGACACGGCCCAAACUCCUACGGGAGGCAGCAGUAGGGAAUCUUCGGCAAUGGACGAAAGUCUGACCGGGCAACGCCGGGUGAGUGAAGAAGGUUUUCGGAUCGUAAAACUCUGUUGGUAGAGAAGAACGUUUGUGAGAGUGGAAAGCUCAUCAAGUGACGGUAACUACCCAGAAAGGGACGGCUAACUACGUG